rnacentral:rRNA from 1 species
GAACCUUACCAGCCCUUGACAUGUCCCGUAUGGGUUUCAGAGAUGAGACCCUUCAGUUCGGCUGGCGGGAACACAGGUGCUGCAUGGCUGUCGUCAGCUCGUGUCGUGAGAUGUUGGGUUAAGUCCCGCAACGAGCGCAACCCUCGCCCUUAGUUGCCAUCAUUCAGUUGGGCACUCUAAGGGGACUGCCGGUGAUAAGCCGCGAGGAAGGUGGGGAUGACGUCAAGUCCUCAUGGCCCUUACGGGCUGGGCUACACACGUGCUACAAUGGCGGUGACAGUGGGAUGCAAUGGAGCAAUCCUGCGCAAAUCUCAAAAAGCCGUCUCAGUUCGGAUUGGGGUCUGCAACUCGACCCCAUGAAGUCGGAAUCGCUAGUAAUCGCAGAUCAGCACGCUGCGGUGAAUACGUUCCCGGGCCUUGUCACACCGA